AAGUGUUUCUAAGAGAUCCCGAGUCAGCAAAAUGAUUUUCAAACUUCUGCUCUCUAUUGUCCUGUUUGCUUUUGCAACUACCGGAGAACCACAGUUUAGCACCCCCGAGGUACCCGCUGAACUUCCUGGUGUGGAAGCACCCACAGUGCCCUCAGUUGGAAACGACAUAGUGCCAGGCUUACCAGGCAGCAUUUCCGAUCGAGUUUCAAAUCGGUUCAACUAAAUUAUUGGAAGUGUUACCUGUUACUUUUUUUUAUCAUUAUGCAUUAGAUCGGUAAGAAGAGGACGAGCUUCGAUUGUUUAAAUAUCAAGAAUAAAAAGCGUUUGAUGCAUUAAAUUA